rnacentral:rRNA from 1 species
UGAACGCUGGCGGCGUGCCUAAUACAUGCAAGUCGAACGCACAGCGAAAGGUGCUUGCACCUUUCAAGUGAGUGGCGAACGGGUGAGUAACACGUGGACAACCUGCCUCAAGGCUGGGGAUAACAUUUGGAAACAGAUGCUAAUACCGAAUAAAACUUAGUGUCGCAUGACACAAAGUUAAAAGGCGCUUCGGCGUCACCUAGAGAUGGAUCCGCGGUGCAUUAGUUAGUUGGUGGGGUAAAGGCCUACCAAGACAAUGAUGCAUAGCCGAGUUGAGAGACUGAUCGGCCACAUUGGGACUGAGACACGGCCCAAACUCCUACGGGAGGCUGCAGUAGGGAAUCUUCCACAAUGGGCGAAAGCCUGAUGGAGCAACGCCGCGUGUGUGAUGAAGGCUUUCGGGUCGUAAGCACUGUUGUAUGGGAAGAACAGCUAGAAUAGGAAAUGAUUUAGUUUGACGGUACCAUACCAGAAAGGGACGGCUAAAUACGUG